GGGAGAACCAAUGGGCCUUUGAAUAAAAAAGAAUUAAAGGAAUGAAUCACUUAUAUGUUACUUUUCUAUUGUCGCAUGGUAAUGUUUGAUGCUUGUGUUGUCUGUUAUGUUAAACUCUGUGAUGUUCGUUGGGUGUUAACUUUAUUCUACAAUGUUAUCUUUCAUCCAACUUACCUGACUUCGCCAUUUUUUAUUAAUAUCGGAGAUUGCCU
rnacentral:misc_RNA from 1 species